AGGGUGUGACUGGUUACGGCGGUU
rnacentral:siRNA from 1 species